UCUGCUAAAAACGUCCGGCCCAGCUCAUGUUCUUAGUCUGAAAAUCCGGCCCGAGUCAAUUUUUAAUUGAAUAGCCCUGCCAUAAACUGUAUAUAAUGGUAUUUACGCAGCUAAUCAAGUCAGGCGUCCUCAUGUGCAGCCACCGUUGUUCUCAUAGAUAUGAAUGAGUAGAUAGGACACGCCCCUUUGAGCUGCGUGCUACGGCGAGGCUAAGCUAGUGGGGGAAAAGUUUCAGUGCAUUCCGUUGAUGCAGACGGCGUGAAAACGGAAACAACAAGUAUGCCGGCUCACUGUGCUGCAUGCAAUUGCACUCUGCGUCGUAUGAUUGAGACAAGGAAACUUGGAAUGGCUUUUCAUAGGUAAGAAUAGUUUUUGGUAGAGGUCGACCGAUAUAUCGGCCGGCCGAUAUUUUGGGCCGAUAUAUGGACUUUUUUCAAUAUCGGCCAUUGGCCGAUAUUUACAAAUAAAAAGCCGAUUUGUGAUCAGGCACCCGUACGGGCAGCUGCCGCUACCGCUUUUCCCUUAGAAGGACCCCUGGGGCUUUCGACCAAAGAGCACCAGGUGCUAGGUUGGUUCAAAGUUGAGAGCUAGUGCUUUUUUGGUUCAAAUCUCGUGCCGCCCCAGAACGGGUUUGUGUUUCCAUUCGGAAGGAGCAAAGUUGGAGCUGCGUCAUUGCGCCACCACAAAACGUGUGUACAUACUGCGUACGUAGCCGUUCAACAGCGUUCGCGCCGUACGGAAACCCACACAACAACAAUGGAGGACUUCAUUGGAGUGGUGUUCAUGGCUUUGCUAGUGUGUCUCGCCAUCGUUGAGCAGCAAAACCUUCUGUUAGGGGUUACCCAUCGGCGUCGCCGUUCCAAUGCCCGGCGAUCACGUUUGAGAAGAAAGGUAAUUAUCAAAGACGUUUGGAUACUUAACCAUAAAUGUGCUAGCGUUAGCUUAGCUACUUAGCUUCGACUACGCUUGCAUUGAUUACUUAGCGGUUAAACACACGCAAUAAAUUGAUGAUCAUAUCUAUGUUUAUCUUUUUAGAUGUUUUUAGAUGUCACCCCACCCCCUGCCCGUGACAUGCUCGGCUCUCAACUCUGGCCAAGUCUGGCCCAGCAACGAGUUGGUGCCCGAAAAAGCCCCAGUUUUUGGAGCCCGGAGCCGCAGCUCCGGUGGUGGAAAGACAAAAAACCGGCGCCAAGUCGGGCACUGGCUCCGACUCCGAACGGGCUCCACCCCGGUCGAAAGCCCCUAAGAGAGCGGAGCAUGAGCGGAGCGAGUGAGCCAGGCAACAACAAGCCUCGCUCCACACCUGCUUAUUUGGUUAAAAAAACAGGUUUCCCAGAGACUAUGGGUUGAGGAGGAAUUGGAAGUUUGUCGGCUUAGACCUGGUGUCAUUCCAUCAGUGUUAAACUUCCCGGCUCAUCUUGGAGGAGAACGUGCCAGAAAGACCAUGACCAAGCAGCCUUGAGAUCUUAGGCAGCGUCUCCCUGAGGUCCCUCUCUAUCUCCCUACACAUCCACCAACCACUGGAACACAUCUCCAAAGUUCUGCCGGGCCAGCUCAGCUUCCCCUCAGAAGAAGUGCUGCCACCUGCCAGAUGAAGGAGCCUUUUGAGAGGCAGCUGGCAUCGUGAUUGGACUGUACUUUGGUCUGUUCCAGUCCAGCUUCAGCUCCAGAGACAGCAGGCGGGACGAGUCAACGGAGGCCUGGUGGACGAAGGCAUGAAGCUGAGUACAAUCCAGAAAACAACAGAGGAGGAGUGCAGCAGCCCAGAGCCAGAACAAACAGCGUAGCAUCAUAUGUCUCUUAGAAAACAUCAUAGUUUAGCCUUUGGUAUGAAAAAACGCCAUCAUAUACAUCGUAUAUUGUACAAAUAACAAGUCAAAGCAAAGAGACAUACAUUGUAGAAUUGUAGUAAUUGUGGGCUGACUGAUUUACUGAUUAUCAGUAUUUUAUUUUUUACUGAUUUACGGUAAUAAAUACAUUUAAAAAUGGUG